CACAUUUUAGACACUUUUUCAAAACUUCAUACACAUUCAUAUAUAAUAUGAAAUCAUUCAGACAUGCAUGUAUCCAUUUAUACUCCAUACCCAUCGGACAAAGAAUUUUUUUUGCAUCAUAAUUAUGAGUGGGUAAUGUAUUUUCAUCGGGCAACAUUUCAUUCAACAACGACAACAAUUCUGUAAAACUCUUAUCAUUCCAUCCAUUGGUUUUCUUUAAAUUCAUUAGCCUUAACACUGCUGACGAUUGUGUGAACUUAGUUGAACUGAUAUACAAAGGAGUCUUCGCAUUAGUAGACAUCGUUUCAUACACAUGCGCUUGGGCAAAAGCUUAUGCGCCAACAUCGCGGAUCAUGUCCUCUAAAUUGUCAUCUUUCGGUCGAUCUUCUAUAUACAUGGUGGAAUCAUAUACAUUUUCAGUUCGAGAGAUAGUUGGAAAGUCUAUUAAUUCACCGUAACAUAUCCAUGUUGUAUAACUUCGUAUGAAACCAUCAUAGAUAAGAUGUUCCCUAAUAUCAGUUGCGUUCAACUUCCUCCCAUUCAAACAGUUCACACAGGGACAUCUAAACUUGACUUCAUCAUCACCACUUGUACUCGCAUUACGUUGCGCAAACUCUAUAAAUUCUUCUACCCCUCUCUCGUACUCAAUGCUGAUGCAUGGUAAAUUAAUCCACCCUCGAUUCGUACGCAUGUUUACACAAUUUCAAUAAUCUUGAAUGAUCACUUUCAUCGUUUUUGUAUUCAAGGUGUGACCCUAUCCC
rnacentral:lncRNA from 1 species